AAGCAACGCGAAGAACCUUACCAGGUCUUGACAUCCCGAUGCUAUUUCUAGAGAUAGAAAGUUACUUCGGUACAUCGGUGACAGGUGGUGCAUGGUUGUCGUCAGCUCGUGUCGUGAGAUGUUGGGUUAAGUCCCGCAACGAGCGCAACCCCUAUUGUUAGUUGCCAUCAUUCAGUUGGGCACUCUAGCGAGACUGCCGGUAAUAAACCGGAGGAAGGUGGGGAUGACGUCAAAUCAUCAUGCCCCUUAUGACCUGGGCUACACACGUGCUACAAUGGUUGGUACAACGAGUUGCGAGUCGGUGACGGCGAGCUAAUCUCUUAAAGGCCAAUCUCAGUUCGGAUUGUAGGCUGCAACUCGCCUACAUGAAGUCGGAAUCGCUAGUAAUCGCGGAUCAGCACGCCGCGGUGAAUACGUUCCCGGGCCUU
rnacentral:rRNA from 1 species